GACAGAGGUGCCGAGCGUUAGGCGGAAUCACUGGGCUUAAAGCGUGUGUAGGCGGAUCGUUAAGUAUCUUGUGAAAUCCCACGGCUCAACCGUGGAACUGCUGGGUAUACUGGCGAUCUUGGGCCACCUAGGGGCAGAUGGAACAAGUGGUGGAGCGGUGAAAUGCGUAGAUAUCACUUGGAACGCCAAAGGUGAAAACAGUCUGCUGGGGGUGUGCCGACGCUGAGACACGAAAGCCAGGGGAGCGAACGGG
rnacentral:rRNA from 1 species